rnacentral:rRNA from 1 species
GACGAACGCUGGCGGCAUGCUUAACACAUGCAAGUCGAACGGACAUGCCCUGCUUUUGUGGGGUGCUCGAGUGGCGAACGGGUGAGUAACACGUGAGUAACCUGCCCUUGACUUUGGGAUAACUUCAGGAAGCUGGGGCUCAUCCCGGAUAGGAGCUCCUGCUGCAUGGUGGGGGUUGGACUGUUUCGGCGGUUGGGGAUGGACUCGCGGCUUAUCAGCUUGUUGGUGGGGUAGUGGCUUACCAAGGCUUUGACGGGUAGCCGGCCUGAGAGGGGCACCGGCCAAAUUGGGACGGGGAUACGGCCCAGACCCCAACGGGAGGCAGGGGUGGGGAAGAGAGCACAAUGGGCGGAAGCCUGGUGCAGCAACGCCGCGUGCGGGAUGACGGCCUGCGGGUAGGAAAGCGCAUUCGCUUGUGACGAAGCGUGAGUGACGGUAAUGGGUAAAGAAGCACCGGCUAACUACGUG